UACGUAGGUGGCAAGCGUUGUUCGGAAUUAUUGGGCGUAAAGGGCGCGUAGGCGGUCUUGUAAGUCAGCUGUGAAAGCCCGGGGCUCAACCCCGGAGGGUCGGCUGAUACUGCAGGACUGGAGUACGGAAGAGGUAGCUGGAAUUCCCGGUGUAGCGGUGAAAUGCGUAGAUAUUGGGUGGAACACCGGUGGCGAAAGCGGCCCCCUGGCCCGGUCCUGACGCUGAGGCGCGAAAGCGUGGGGAGCAAACAGG
rnacentral:rRNA from 1 species